UUUAAUUAAAAAAAAGAGAUACAACUCUACUAGUGCAAAAUUAAUUCAAAACUCUCGAGCUCUUUAUUUUCUAAUUACAUCAAUUUUAAGAUAAUUUAUUUUCUAAAUCAAAACAACGCUUCUUUCUUUUAUUUUACAAUCUCAACUUAGUCCAAGGUCCCUGAGGAUACGAUCUUAACUCAUCCUACCUACGUAGUGAGUAGAGUUAUUUUUGGUGCUAUCAACGACUAUGCAUCAAAUUUUGGCGCCAUUGCCGGAGAUCUUGACAUGGUUGAAUUAAAAAAAAAAAUCACUGACAUUUCAUAACACUUAACUAAAAUAACGUAACC
rnacentral:lncRNA from 1 species